UCCCCGUUGCCGGGGCAGUCCAAGUAGAAAAAUACAACUACUUGCAAGGGUUGCGCUCGUUAAUGGACUUAACCAAACAUCUCACGACACGAGCUGACGACGGCCAUGCAACAUCUGUCACCGAGUUCAAAAGCACUCUCUCCUUUCGGAGAAAUUCUCGGGAUGUCAAACCCUGGUAAGGUUCUUCGGUUAGCAUCGAAUUAAAGAACAUAAUCCACCGCUUGUGCGGGUCCCCGUCAAUUCCUUUAUGUUUUAGUCUUGCGACCGUACUCCACAGGCGGGAUACUUAACGCGUUAGCUUCGCUACUGAAGGGGUCGAUACCUCCAACAGCUAGUAUCCAUCGUUUACGGCGUGGACUAC
rnacentral:misc_RNA from 1 species